UUGACUAGAUUUUUUUAUAUACUCGCCUUUUGUCGUUUUAACAUUGACUCUAAAAAUCUGCGUUGAGUACGCCUCAUAACAAAAUUUGAGACCUAAAGACCAUGGAUUUGCUUUAACUCGAAGGAAAUACUGGAUGGAUUGUACGGACUCAUGCUUAUCAAUUUGUAUGCCCAUUCAAGCUGUGAGUGUGAAUAUUUCGGCUUGUAUGGUCAUGAAAAAAUAUCAUCACAAAGUCAAUAUUUGUAGGAUUUUUGCAUGGUAAGUAUGAUUUUUAGAUUUGUCAUCAAAUACACAUUCGAUCGUAACUCAAAUCAUGAAGAAUAAACAUUUUCCAUGUGCUUUUCUGUCAUUCUUCGUUUGGUCGUUGAAGGGUUCGGACGUGUUUUUCGAAGCUCUCGACGUCGUGACCUAAUUAUAAUUUGAACUGCGCGGGUAAAGAACGCUCAUUUGCGGCUUGGACAUUGACCAAUACGGACGUGUUUUUAAAGCGCUCUGAAAAAAGUUUUGACUUUUAAAUUUUUUUACUACGACAGAAUCUUAGUUGACUGAUGGUCUUUGACAAAGACAGACUUGUUUUUGUGAGCUCUGAACAAAAUUUGACUUUGAAAUAUUUUUACGAUUAAAAAGUUUCAGUUGACUUUUGAACGUUGACGAAGACGGACGUACUUUCGUGAGCUCUGACUAUUGAUGAAAAGUUUUCGCGUUAUAGAAUAGCGACUUGGUACUCAGGUUGUUGAAUGACUGGAUGACUGUAGUGUUAGGUUAUUGUUAUGAGAUAACAACUUGACUUUGACUUGAGUUGUGAAAUAAAAUCAUACUGAUACUCUUGAACGUUUAGUAUGGACUGACAACGAACUUUUGUGAGCGUUAUAUAUGAAAUGUUUGACUUACAUUAAUUUUUUUGAACGACUUGACUUCAAUUUAAGUUUUGACAUCGGACUGAUCGGACGUGUUUUUUUAAGCCCUGACUGUUGUGAAUAAUUAAAUUUAUGUUGUGGUGUCAAGCGAUUGACUGUCAGUUGAGGUUCAGAUGUCGAGCUGUGCGGACGUGUUCAUCGAGCUGCUGUCUACAAAAAACGGGGCUGUGGUGAGUAUUGUAGAAUAAAUUUAUUGUAUUAUGGAAUAAAUUAACGAUGCUAAAUGAAAACUGUUAUUGUACACUUUGUAUGGAUAAACGUGUAUGACCACUCUGUCGGUUGGUUUUCAUGAAAGCAUAAAUUAUGUGAAUGAUGAUAUGAAGGGUAGAAUUCAUCAGUGCUUGUGUCUAGAAAUGCUGAAUGUUUAUUGAAAAGGCUAAAUGCUAGCCAGUACUAAGAGUUGAGCUACCGUGGGAAUGUGAAACGAACUGAUGGUGUAAUAUGAUGGUGUAUUGACAUACUUUUCUUAUAUGUACUAAAUAUGAUAUUGCUUUACUUGUAUUUGCAUGCUGUUAACAUUUUUAUUUUGUUCCAGUGUGCUGUGGUGAGUACUGUAGAUAUUACUUGAUUUUUAGUGUCUAUGAAUGCUGAUGUAUGAUAGCUAUAGCAUGAGCUCAAUGCUAACCAGUAUUAUGAGUUGAUGUAUUGUGGUGAUGCUAAUCGAACUGAUGAUGUAACAUGAUGGUGAACACUUACUGAAUGCAUAAAAUUUAUUGAAUUGCGUUUGUUGAUAUGCACUAUAAUAUGAUAAAUGUAUUGCUUAACAUGUAUAUUUCAUGAUGUUUAAUUUCAGUGGGCUGUGGUGAGUACUGUAGAUUGUAUUGCCUAUGUAUAGAAUUCAAUAAAAGAUUAUGACUGAAAACUGCUUUUGAUUCUUUUUGAACAGUUUUAGGGACUAUAAGUCUAUAACAAAAAUAUGUCGGUUGGCGUUCAUACAGCAAUGUUUUGAGUAGUACAGAAAUGUUUCUACGUUUGUGGUCGCCAGUUGUCUGUGAUGUGUAAAGUGAAAAAUACACGGAGCUUUGAAUACAACAAACAUUUACUGUUUUAACACAGAUUGUGUGCUAUGCAUUUUUCGAUGUAGAUCUUUUUCAGAUUUGACAUGAAAUGUAGACCUGACAUUUGAACAGAGCUGGGAAACGAAAAGGUAAGUUUGUUAAAUUUCACAAUGAACACUUGUGUUUUGACAAAAGAAGAGAUAAAGUGAGUUUUGUCAUCAUCAUGGUUUCUUUCAGAGUAUAACUCGUGAACAGAUGAAAACCUAUUUUUUGCUAGAUUUUCAUGUACUCUUUUUUUGGAUGAUAAGUAUGUCAGUAACUCAAAAUCAUACGGCUAGUACAGUAUGGAACAUGAAUGCUUUGUUCAGAUUUUCAGAUGUGUGCUGGCAGUUUAAGUCUGGCAGCUGAAGUGAACAGUCGUGUUUUCUGGAGCUCCAACAAUAUGCUAGAAGGUAAGUAACUAUGUUUGUUUUGCAUUGCAUGUUUUUAUAUGUUUCAGACUUUCAAGCAGAGAUGUCAUGCUGACUGGAGUUGAGCACAGGGCAGUGACAAAGUGAAAGGUAAGUACUUUUGACUGAAUGUUUGUUCUAUGCAUGUUUUGUUUCAAUACAUUUCAGGAGUGCUUAUCCAGUGAUGAUAUGACAGUUGGAGUGAACAGUGGAGCCAAGCAGUCUUGUUUUUGGAGCUACUCAACAAGCCUUGAAGGUAAGUUUAGAAUUUCUCAAUGUUAGUGAAUUGAAGUACUGUCACUUGCUUUUGGACAGUCGAACAGAACAGACGUGGUUGCGAGAGCUCUCAUAUCUGUUGUGUUAAACUGUUUUUAUGAUAUGUUAUGUUUGUUUGUUUGUUUGUGAUGUACUAUUUUUCAGAUGCUGAUGGCAGUGAUGGGUUUUCAAGCUGACCUGAACAGAAAAGCACUCAUAUGGUAAGUACAAAAUAGUUGUUAUAUGGGAUGUUUUGUGCAUGCUUUUAUGUUUCAGGUGUACUUGCUGACAGCGACGAAGACGAAUCAAGAAGAGGAACAUUGUUGAGAAAGUGAUUGGGACUUGCAAACAGGAUUCGAGUCACUGGUUUACACAUGGAAGAAGAUUUCCACGUCUGUUACUCAACUCUACAGAAGCAAGGUAAGUCGAUCAAAUUUUUGUUUUCAUUUGUACUGCUGUAAUGUGAUGGUAAACUUAUGCUAUUUUUCAUGUGUGUCAUGUACAGAUGGAUAAUUCAAGUUUGAUCUGUGUUGGUUUAUGUUCAAAAACGUUUUACAUGUAUGUGUGUUUGAAGAUGUUUUGUUUCAGUGGAUGUCCAGAUGGCAAGCAGAACAGACGUGUUUCUUGGAGCUGCCAAACAGUGAGUACAAACGUUUUAUAUUUUUCAGUUGUUUACUCAUAGAAGUCUGUGAAAGAUGAUAACAAGGGUUGAAUCUAUCAGUACUUGUGUCUAAAAAUGCUGAUGUGUGAUGGUUUACUGAAAAGGGUUAAUGCUAGCCAGUAACACUUGAGCAACCGUGGGAUGUCGAACUAACUGAUGAUGUACUAUGAUGGUGAACACUUACUAUGUGUAUCGAAAUGCUUUUGUUGAUAUUUACUAUAGAUGAUUUGAUAUUGGUUAACAUUUGUUUGCAUGCUGUUAACAUUUCUAUUUCAUUUCAGUGAGCUGUGGUGAGUAUUAUAGAAUAAGUUUUUCUCAAUACACGAUGAUGAAUGAAAACUGAUGUCGAUUCUUUUUGUACAGUUUUAGGUAUUAGCACUCUAUACAAAACUAUGUCGGUCGGUGUUUGUGAAUGUGAGCUUAAUGUUUGAGUAGUACAAAAAUGUCUUUACUUUUGUGAUCGCCAGUUGUCUGUGAUAUGUAACGUAAACAAAAAACACAGCUAUGAAGCAUACAAUUGUUUCGAAAUUUUAUCAAUGAUUGUAUACUAUGCAUGUUUUGAUUUAGUUCGUUUCAGAUAUGACAUGACAUGAAGAGUUGACAGUCGAACAGAGCUGAGCAAUGCAGAAAGGUAAGUGUGUUUCAUUUUAGUAUGAACACUUGUAUUUUGUUUUUAUAUGGUAUGUUUUGUGCAUGCUAUGUUUCAGGUGUACUUGUAGUCAGCGACGAAGACGAUUCAAGAAGAGGAACAUUGCUGAGAAAGUGAAUGGGACUUGCAAACAGGGUAAGUGUUACAAUUGUUCUUUUGAUUUUUGCCAUGCAUACUUUGCUUUGCUCUGUUUCAGAUUUCACAUGCAGAAAUGGUCUCAUAGCAGUGCCAACAGUGAAUAAGGAUUUCAGCUGCUGUGAAACAACUCAACAGAAAGUAGGUAAGCAUUGAAUAAAUGCACUUGAGUUGUACAAUUUGAUGUGAUGCUUUUCUCUGUUUCAGAUUCAAGUUCCUGGUGUAGACAGAGAAAUGUGUUUGAAGAAGGAAUUCUACUACUGUGAUUCAACUCUACAGAAGCAAGGUAAGUAGAAACAAAAUUUUGGUUUAAUUUAACUCAUGUGUUUUGCACUGCAUGCUAUUUUUUAGGUCUCUCAUGCAGUGAGGGAAAAGAAGAAGAUUUCAAGAAAAAAUCACUGCUGCAACUCAGGCCGAUAACAAGGUAAGCGUUUACUAUAUUGUAUACAAAAUGUUUUUCUGUUUUACUCUGUUUCAGGUUUCAAUUGCAGAGAUGUUGCAGAGAUGAUUUGACAGCUUGUGACAGAAAAGAAAUUCAGCAGCUGUGUCUCGACUCUAGCCACGAGGUAAGUCAAAACAAAUAUACUGGUUUGUAUGUAAUGUUGUUAUGCCAUUCUAUGUUUCAGACUUACAUUGCUGUGACUGUUCCACAGUGGGUCAAAAAAGAGACGAAUACAGGUUUCAAGAAGAAAAUUGGCUGUUGAAAACCUGCACAAAAUAUGAGGUAAGUAAACUAUUCUUUUGGUUUGUUUUGUGCUUUGUUAUGCUUAACUAUUUUUCAGAUUGGAAUGGUGGGUCGUUACAGAGCAGACUUUUGGACAACUGAGAAGUUGAGAAACAGAGAAUGAUUCAAGAUCAGCUAGGUAAGUCUUGAUUAUUGUGCAUUGCUAAAUGUUUUUUUCAUUCCAGUAUGGCUGUGGUAAGUACACAAACUUUCUAUAAUUUAAUAUUGAACUGUUUUUAUGACCUGUAUUCUGCAUUGUAAAAUGUCUGUUUUUCAUUUCAGUAUCCUGUGGUAAGUACAAUUGCCUUCUUUAAUUUUCAUAUUGAACUGUUUUGAUGACUUGUAUACUACUAUGCAAUGCUUAAUGUUUUUUUCAUUUCAGUAGCCUGUUGGUAAGUACACUAACUUUCUAUAAUUUCAUAGUGAAUUGUUUUGAUGACCUGUAUUCUGCAUUGUAAAAUGUGUUUCUUUUUUAUUUCAGUAUGGCUGUGGUAAGUACAAUUGCCUUUUAUAUUGAACUGUUUUGAUGACCUGUAUUUUGCAUUGUAAAAUGUGUUUCUUUUUCAUUUCAGUAUGGCUGUGGUAAGUACACAAACUUUCUUUAAUUUUCAUAUUGAACUGUUUUGAUGACUUGUAUUCUACUAUGCAAUGCUUAAUGUAUUUUUUUCAGUAGCCUGUUGGUAAGUACAAUUGCCUUCUUUAAUUUUCAUAUUGAACUGUUUUGAUGACUUGUAUUCUGCUAUACAAAAUGUGCUUUUUUCAAUUUCAGGUCAGCAAUGGUAAGUAUAGUGUGUUUCUUUAUGUAUAAUUUUGUAUACAUAUUGUUUUUUUUCAUCAUAUCAUGUCUUUCAUAUUUAUGCUUUGUGUAAGUAAAAUGUUCAUAAAUCAUUCUUAUCUUCAAACUAAAAAUGUAUUGUGCUAUGCAAAAUGUCUGUAUGAUUUUAGUUGCCAGAGGUGAGUACCAUAACAGUUGAAAAGUUAGUUUUGUUUAGUUCAAGUUUUGGUUCACAGUUCUGUUUGUUAUUUGGCAAAAUUUACAUGUCUGCAUUGAGUCUUGAUUUCAGCUCGAUUGUGGACUGAAGAAGAUUGCCCGCAGAGGGAUUGGAUACAAAAUACAAAGUAAGUACUGAGUUUCUUACUAAAAGUUUUGAGUUGUAUUCAUUGUGUGUUAAUAUGCUAUGAUUGCUAUGAACAUGACUUUUGUAUUUCAGCGAAGACAACAUAGGUAAGUAAAAUUGUUAUCUGUUUCAUGUUUACUGUUACAGUUCAAUAUUGUGUUUAUAAAUUGUAAGUUGUACAAACACAUUCAAAAGUUUCUGAUCAUGCUUUCGAUUUCAUUUCAGCUUUACUGCUGGACGAGUGUUCUCUACUACUUGACGAGUCAGCUUUACUACCAGGCGAGCAGUGACAACAAGGCGCCUUUGUGGAAACAACACAACAAAAAACUCUACUGCAAGACGAGCAGUGACAGCAAGGCGCCUGAACAUGCAACACAAAACAAAAAAUGCCAAUUUGCAAACCUUGAUGUGGACACCGAGUAGUCAAUACAUACGUGUGGCGUAUAGCUGCGACAAAACCGUGGGUCCAUCGCACCGAUAACUUGAACAUUGGCCCGUGUAUGGACAUCAGUGCAACUUUGUGAAUCCAUGUAACUUUGUGAAUCCAUGUAACAUUGCGAAUGUGUGUCGAUCGAAAAAUGUGUACAUUCUGCACUGAAACGAACUCGGUGUUGCAAGUGGCAAGUGUUGACAGUGUGUAUGUUUAUGUUUAUGUUUUUACAUGAAAAAUAAAGGAGAUUGUUCUCCUACCUUUUUUUUCCUUGUUUUAUUGUGCUGGCCAGCAAUAUUGAUGUAUUGAUGUAUUGAUGUAUGUGUUUGUGUAUUAACGAUGUAUUAACUAUGCAUUACCAAAAUCAAACAAAACUUUGGCACAAGAGACUCUAAGUAUCAAAUACCAACAAUUUAAGCGCAGACAAUCACAUGGUGGUACACCAGUCCGAAUAUACUCAUUGCUCUAGCCAGGAUUGCAAAUUACUUGUGUUGACUAGCAAGGCUCCCUAGUAACGGAGCAGUGUUACUGGCGUUUUUUGGGUCGAUAGUGCUUAGGUGAGGUUUUGCUCGAAUCGGGAGCGGGUCACUCGCUUGGGCGAGUUAGUUUUCGCUCGUAGUUUCCAAUCUGGCUAGAUCACUGUAAGGUUGUUUUGACUGCUAUUUGGCAAGCAGAAAAACAACAGCGGUUAAUUGACUGAGUAUGGGCGACCGAGGUAUGUAGGUGUCAAUAGACCGACUCCACAAGUUGCGAAGCGAACCGAUAGCACUUGAGGGGAAACGCCUCGGUUUUCGGUUCUAACAUGUGUUAUCCAUGCUGUCGUUACACUCUGGCAAGGCUCCUCAAUCUAUCGCGAGGGACACUCAUAAUUGCCCGCAAGCUUUAGAAUCUGACGUGGGUCGAUGCGUAUGCGAGUCCGAGGACGCGAUGGCAUUUGAUAAGGCUACCAACCAGUUGAUAACACGCAUUGUUCAAAUUGUUAGGUUUAAGUCUGCUAGGGCUGGGGUGGGAA